rnacentral:rRNA from 1 species
UGGGGAAUAUUGCGCAAUGGGGGAAACCCUGACGCAGCAACGCCGCGUGAAGGAAGAAGGUCUUCGGAUUGUAAACUUUUGUCUUCAGGGACGAUAAUGACGGUACCUGAGGAGGAAGCCACGACUAACUACGUGCCAGCAGUCGCGGUAAUACGUAGGUGGCAAGCGUUGUCCGGAUUUACUGGGUGUAAAGGGUGUGUAGGCGGGAUUGCAAGUCAGAUGUGAAAUGCCGCAGCUUAACUGCGGAGCUGCAUUUGAAACUGUAAUUCUUGAGUAGAGGAGAGGUAAGCGGAAUUCCCAGUGUAGCGGUGAAAUGCGUAGAUAUUGGGAGGAACACCAGUGGCGAAGGCGGCUUACUGGACUCUAACUGACGCUGAGGCACGAAAGCGUGGGGAGCAAACAGG